GGUCGUGGCCAAGUGGUUAAGGCGAUACACUAGAAAUCUUUUGGGAUCUUCCCGCGCAGGUUCGAUUCCUGCCGACAUCG
rnacentral:tRNA from 1 species